rnacentral:misc_RNA from 1 species
GUCCUCCUGUUCUUCAAUGGCUUUAUAUUUUUAUUUUCUGGUUUUUUAUCUUUUCUCUGUAUCUUCUGUUAUCUGCCAAGUUACAGGUAAGUUCUUUCUUGAAUCUGCAGAAUUAUGUUCUUUGAAGGGUGUUUUUUUUCCAUUCAAUUUGAGGUGAUACCAAUGUAAUCAAGAAUCCAUCCUCUAAAUAAAUCUUGCAUGUGAUUUUAAUUAAUUCCAAGAAACGACAUCUGCUAGAGGAAUCUGUUUCUUGUAGAAACAAUUAACAUAUUUUUUUGAUCUUACUAGAGGGGUCUUAACAAUUAGUAAAAAUAAUCAUAGAAGAAUCUAGCCCUCUUAAUUUCCUCUUGUCAAUUGCCUGCUAGAACACAAAUCACCGACAAAAUGAUACUGUAGGAAUUAUAAACAUGGCAAUCUGUGUCUUCCAGAAUGAGACUGUUAGAAUUGUAAUAUGGUUACUAACAAUUACAAUAAUAAAUUGUGAUCUAUUUCAACCCACAGAGUUCAUCAGUAUAGACUGU